rnacentral:misc_RNA from 1 species
ACAAGUGCUGACACUGGAAACAGUGGCUUUAACAGCAGUAGCAGCCCUAGUAUUCAUAAUGACCAUCCCACCAUCUCUGUUGUCGCUGUAAUUGUUUUUGCUAGCUCCACCGUGAUUAGCUUUAUUGGUAGAAUAGGUACCUCCAGUGGUAGGAGCUGGUCGUCUUUGAUAUUUGUUUUCUUUCUUUUUAUGGUGACGCUUGCCAAAACACCCCAUAACUAGAGAAUAAAGCUGUGACAAACUUGUCGACUUGUAUAUGUUUUCUGAGAAGU